rnacentral:rRNA from 1 species
AGAGUUUGAUCCUGGCUCAGAAUCAACGCUGGCGGCGGNNUAACACAUGCAAGUCGAACGAGAAAGUGGAGCAAUCCAUGAGUAAAGUGGCGUACGGGUGAGUAACACGUGGAUCAUCUGCCCUUUUGUGGGGAAUACCGAUGGGAAACCGUCGACAAUACCGCAUAAGCCCGAGAGNNGAAAGCAGCAAUGCGCAGAAGGAGGAGUCCGCGGUCGAUUAGCUAGUUGGUAGGGUAAUGGCCUACCAAGGCUGUGAUCGAUAGCCGGCCUGAGAGGGCACACGGCCACACUGGCACUGAAACACGGGCCAGACUCCUACGGGAGGCAGCAGUGGGGAAUCUUGCACAAUGGGGGAAACCCUGAUGCAGCGACGCCGCGUGAGCGAUGAAGCCCUUCGGGGUGUAAAGCUCUUUCGGCAGGGAAGAUUAUGACGGUACCUGCAGAAGCAGCUGCGGCUAACUACGUGCCAGCAGCCGCGGUAAUACGUAGGCAGCAAGCGUUGUUCGGAGUUACUGGGCGUAAAGGGUGCGUAGGCGGCUCUGUAAGUAUGGUGUGAAAUCUCCCGGCUUAACUGGGAGGGUGCGCUAUAGACUGCGGGGCUCGAGUGUGGGAGAGGAAAGUGGAAUUCCUGGUGUAGCGGUGAAAUGCGUAGAUAUCAGGAGGAACCCGGUGGUGUAAACGGCUUUCUGGACCAUAACUGACGCUGAGGCACGAAAGCGUGGGUAGCAAACAGGAUUAGAUACCCUAGUAGUCC